rnacentral:rRNA from 1 species
AGCAGCCGCGGUAAUUCCAGCUCCAAUAGCGUAUAUUAAAGUUGUUGCAGUUAAAAAGCUCGUAGUUGAAUUUCGGGAUCGACGUGACGGUCGUGCCUCACGGGGCACGAACUGUCGCCGUUGAUUUCUCACCUUCUGGAGAAGCUCGAUGUCCUUAAUUGGGUGUCUUGCGGAACCAGGACCUUUACCUUGAAAAAUUAGAGUGUUUAAAGCAGGCAUUUUGCUCGAAUACAUUAGCAUGGAAUAAUAGAAUAGGACGGCGUGGUUCUAUUUUGUUGGUUUCUAGGAUCACCGUAAUGAUUAAUAGGGAUAGUUGGGGGCAUUAGUAUUCAAUUGUCAGAGGUGAAAUUCUUGGAUUUAUUGAAGACUAACUACUGCGAAAGCAUUUGCCAAGGAUGUUUUCAUUAAUCAAGAACGAAAGUUAGGGGAUCGAAGACGAUCAGAUACCGUCGUAGUCUUAACCAUAAACUAUGCCGACUAGGAAUCAGACGAUGUUAAUUUUUAAUGUACUCGUUUGGCU